rnacentral:tRNA from 2 species
UAAGACUUAUAAGUGAUUAACCUAUAUCCUUUGAAUGCAACUCAAGCACUUUAAUUAAGCUAAAGCCUUU